AAGCGCCAGAGCUCUGUGUGCAGUGAUCAAACACACACACACACACACACACACACCACUCAACACCUUCUCCUAACGCCUUCACUCGUUGUCCUGUAGAACGACAGUAAUCUGAAAAGUGAAACACAGCUGAGUCUCAGAGAUCUGACGCUGACAGCCUGAAGACGUGGAGCCUCAAGACGUGCUGGCGUGACGCACAUUACUAAACUUCCCGCUGAUUACUCUCUGAAAAUUGUGUCCCCUGGAGGAAUGGGUGUGAAGGUACUCCUGUGCUUCCCCUUCUACAGACGCUGCAAAGAGCGAUGCAAGGACAGAGAGUGUCCACCUAAAGCAGAACCUGUGGUACCGAAAGAUGAGCCUAAGCCUCGUCUCUGCUCAACGGCGUCGUCAGUCAGCGAGUGCGACAGUGGGAGCAACCUGGGUAGUCCUCAAGUAUAUUUUUCCCAGAAGGCUCGGCUCUCCUUUAGACACCAAAUGGACAGCAACUUUAACGCAAUAGAUGCCACAUAUUAACUCCUGUCGUUCGCCAAGGUUUUUAAAAUGAACUCUGACCCCUGUUGAGAGGAGAGAGAGAGAGAGAGAGAGAGAGAGAGCUGGGUGAUAUCAUGGAUGGCAGAAACUGGACUUGGAAGAUGGUGUCAGUCAGGAUGUCCUGAUAUAGUCAUCUUAUGCGCUCAUGAAUGGAAUGGUUACAGUAAAGAAGCAAGAGGAGAAAAAAAUGGAGUGCUUUUAGAAGAAAUGUUUACAAGAUUACAAAAAGUGCUUUCUGUGUUAUGUUUAUCUCACAUGUUUUCUGGUACGGCUCAACUGCCUGAUUCUCAGAGGGUUACAAGAUGUCUGCUGCCAUUCUGUGCAAAUGGACGGUUUUUUGAUAACAGAUAACUAUCACUUCACACAUUACUUAAAAGUCUUUUCUUAUUUCUUCUUGAACAAAAUCUGGAAUUUGUACCUGCAAAAGUUUUUUAUUUUGCCUUUUUAAGAACGUCAAUAUUCCUUUUUUUGUCCAUUUGUAAUGGAAAAGUGUCCUUUUCCAUCUGUUUCCUCCGCUAGUUAAUAUGCAAACACAAACAGAUCAGGUGUACGUGAUAAACUCCACACACACGUGUUUUUAGAAUUCAAACUCCAUAUUCAGUAGAACUUUUUGUUUUUGCUUUUAACGCUGAUAUCUGAGCAAACAGAUAAAAGUUUGUUUUACAGCAAAGCACCAGCCCAGGACACGUUGUCUAUCAUUAUAGCACAGUUUUUCUUUUGUAUUAAAAUGUUUGUACAGUGUUUGUAGUUUUUUUUUUUUUAAUGUACGACUCAUUUUAAUAAUUCAUUAAAAUUCAAAUUCAUGUAAUUUUUAAAAAUGAAAAAUAAACAAGCUCACAUUCACAAUCAUCAAAUGAAACAAGACACAAAUGUAAACGUUUUCUCUUCG